GCCAGUGUGGCGCAGUGGUUUGAGUAUUGGAUUACAACUGGAGAGCAGGGUUCAAAUCCCAGCUCAGCCA